AUCGAACGCUAGCGGGAUGCUUUACACAUGCAAGUUGAACGAGUGGCGGACGGGUGAGUAAUAUAUCGGAACGUGCCCAGUCGCGGGGGAUCACUACUCGAAAAAGUGGCUAAUACCGCAUACUAUUGGAGUGGGCGAUAUCUGAUUAGCUAGUUGGGGGGGGAAGGGCUCACCAAGGCCACGAUCCGUAGCUGGUUUGAGAGGACGACCAGCCAAACUGGGACUGAGACACGGCCCAGACUCAUACGGGAGGAAGCAGUGGGGAAUUUUGGACAAUGGGGGAAACCCUGAUCCAGCCAUCCCGCGUGUAUGAGAAGGCCUUCGGGUUGUAAAGUACUUUUGGCAGAGAAGCGGUAUCGGCAGAAUAAGCACCGGCUAACUACGUGCCAGCAGCCGCGGUAAUUC
rnacentral:rRNA from 1 species